GAUGAACGCUGGCGGCGUGCCUAAUACAGCAAGUCGAGCGAACAGACGAGGAGCUUGCUCCUCUGACGUUAGCGGCGGACGGGUGAGUAACACGUGGAUAACCUACCUAUAAGACUGGGAUAACUUCGGGAAACCGGAGCUAAUACCGGAUAAUAUAUUGAACCGCAUGGUUCAAUAGUGAAAGACGGUUUUGCUGUCACUUAUAGAUGGAUCCGCGCCGCAUUAGCUAGUUGGUAAGGUAACGGCUUACCAAGGCGACGAUGCGUAGCCGACCUGAGAGGGUGAUCGGCCACACUGGAACUGAGACACGGUCCAGACUCCUACGGGAGGCAGCAGUAGGGAAUCUUCCGCAAUGGGCGAAAGCCUGACGGAGCAACGCCGCGUGAGUGAUGAAGGUCUUCGGAUCGUAAAACUCUGUUAUUAGGGAAGAACAAAUGUGUAAGUAACUAUGCACGUCUUGACGGUACCUAAUCAGAAAGCCACGGCUAACUACGUG
rnacentral:rRNA from 1 species